rnacentral:rRNA from 1 species
AAAGGAAUAGACGGGGGCCCGCACAAGCGGUGGAGUAUGUGGUUUAAUUCGAUGAUACGCGAGAAACCUUACCUGGUCUUGACAUGUAGAGAACCCUUAAGAGAUUAGGGGGUGCCUGCUUGCAGGAGCUCUAACACAGGUGGUGCAUGGUUGUCGUCAGCUCGUGUCGUGAGAUGUUGGGUUAAGUCCCGCAACGAGCGCAACCCUUGUUGCUAGUUACCAGCACGUAAUGGUGGGAACUCUAGCGAGACUGCCGGUGACAAACCGGAGGAAGGUGGGGAUGACGUCAAAUCAUCACGCCCCUUACGACCAGGGCCACACACGUACUACAAUGCCCGGUACAGCGAGCUGCGAAGCUGCGAAGCUGAGCUAAUCUCUUAAAACCGGGCCAAGUUCAGAUCGGAGGCUGCAAUUCGCCUCCGUGAAGCUGGAAUCGCUAGUAAACGCAAAUCAGCAUGUUGCGUUGAAUACGUUCUCGGGCCUUGUACACACCGCCCGU